CUUGAACUCUGGCGGCAGGCUUAACACAUGCAAGUCGAGCGAGCGGCGGACGGGUGAGUAAUGUCUGGGAAACUGCCUGCUGGAGGGGGAUAACUACUGGAAACGGUCGCUAAUACCGCAUACCAUCAGCUGUUCCCAGAUGUGAUGAGCUAUUAGGUCGGGUAAUGGCUCACCUAGGCGACGUUCCCUAGCUGGUCUGAGAGGAUGGCACGCGCCACUGGAGCUGGGACACGGUCCAGAGUCAGGCGUGAGGCAGCAGAGGGGAAUAUUGCACAAUGGGCGCAAGCGUGAUGCAGCCAUGCCGCGUGUGUGAAGAAGGCCUUCGGGUUGUAAAGCACUUUAAGCGAGGAGGCGUUACUCGCGGGAGAAGCACCGGCUAGCUCCGUGCCAGCAGCCGCGGUAAUAC
rnacentral:rRNA from 1 species